rnacentral:lncRNA from 1 species
AGCUCCCCUUUGGGGUUCGCUCGCCCAGGCUCCGCCCCGCCCCUCGUCGCCGGGACACCUGAGGAGGCGGCAGGAAGGGACUUCACCAGGGCAUGGAUGCUGACGGCGGGCUUUCGGGUGCUGGGCCCCGACGGAGAGCUCUUCUCCUCGCCGCAGCGCGGUCCUCCCCGUCCCGACCCACCUGACUGGUCCCCGCUGUAGUACUCCGAGUCCAUGGCAGGCGGGCUCUCGGCGGGGAGUGUCCGCGCCACGCGCCGCCCCCGUCACGUCCUUCCUGGCCGAGUGACCUCUCUCCGCCGCGGCGCGCUUCUGCCUCGCCCGAGACUCCGGAGAGGUCGGCGGCGGCGGACGCCGACGCUUCACGCCAGCUACUCCACAGGGCCGUGCCUCACCGGCCGGCAAAACCAAGAAUCGCGCUCAACUUCCCAGAAGCACCUCUGGGGCCAAAAUGGCGUCUACCCACGGCCCUCAGAGAAAUGCAAUGCGCAGGCGCCGUCACCCUGCUGUCGGCCAAUCAGGAUACGCUAUGGUAAUAUGACGCCAUGGCACCGCCGGGACAGAGACUGCCGGGAGAACUGAGUGGACGCGGGAAGUUCGGCUCUAGUUAAAUACCGGCCUCGGCCGGGUUUGGUCUGUCGCCAGGAGGAGUAAUGUUACUCCCUUGGCUCUGAGUUCGGGCUUGCCUUGAAAAACAUUUUAGUUCUUGGGAAAAAAUGAAAACUCGCUAAAAUUACAUUUUAACAUUCAGCCAAAUAACUGUAGUUCCAAUUCCCGCCCAUAGUUUAGAAAGAAAGUAGCGAGUUGUUCUCUGGGACUUGUAGUUCAAAGGUUGGAUUCCCUUCGCCCAGAAAGUUAAAAAUAAGAUAAGGUAAUAAAGAUGACUGACUAGUCCUUAUAAAACUUUU